GCCUCCCACCUCCCUCAGCCUCUUCUUCCCUCCUCCCGCUGGCGCCGCGCGUGACUCCGCCGGCCACCGCACCGCCUCCUCUGCAAGCGCGCGCCGCCCCUCCCUGUAUCCUCCACGGUCGCGUGUCGCCUCCACCACGCCGCAGCCAGGCCGGGGCCACCGCGCUGCCUCCUCCGAGCCGAGCGACCGCCGCCGCUCCUCCUCCAGGCCACCGCGUCCUCUCCGCCUUGCUGCGCCCUCUCCACCGGCCGAUGCGUGCGCCUCCGCCGGCUCCCGCGCCUCCUCCGGGCGCAGGCCGCCCUUGCGCCACCUCUCUCUCCACGCGCUCCGCCGCCGGCCCCGUGCCCAGGCCGUGCCACCUCCGAUUCACCACGCGCUGCCGCCCUUGUCGCGCCGCCCCUCCAUCUCCUCCCGUGAUGAAGGCGCGGUGCCGGUGCCUGUGCUCCGCUGCUCCUUCCCCUCUUCUCCCUCUCCGGCUACCCCUCCUUUCUCCCGGCCCUCCCUCGCGCUGGUAGAUUCACCACCUACCCCGUCGCUAUGGCCAUCGAGACGCAAGAGAACCUCUCCCGCAUCCCCGAUGACGACGACUGCCCCCGGCUCCUUGGUUGACCGUUGACUCAUGCGCACCAUCAUCAUCCGUGGUGGUCAGCUUGAGCCCCAUCAACGCCCGGCCAGACAGCUCAAAUCAGGUGGCCCCCGUGGACGGCGAGCAUGGGAUGCGGCUGCCUCCAUGUAUCUGUUCUUCUAGCCUCAGACUCAUAGACAAGGAAGAGGCAUAGUUGCUUAUGCCCUUGGUUUGAAUUAACUGCUCAUCUUCAAUUACUCUGAUUGCCCAUGUCAUGCGCAUCUGAUUAGGUUUUGAAAUUUCGUUCUUCUUUAUUAAUUUUUCCAUCAGCAGAUCUCACAGCAUGGGACAAUAUUCCCCUAGAACAUAAGCAGAAUAAAAUCGAGAGUUGGAAAUAAUUUGUUUCGUGUGCAAGUAUACGACACACAGCUCCUGUCAAAUGCAGGGCUCCGUCAUCAAGUUGCCCUUUUGGUUGUAGCCGAAGAAGUUUUUCAGUCUCCAAUGAUGUUCCAAAUAGUUUAGUUUAAUGGAAAAUAAUGUGGCAAUUAAACCCAUAUCUGUCAGAACUUGUGCUUGUAUGGUUUAGUGACAAGAUAGUCUGUAGAGAAGAAAGCACCUAUUUCCGUACAUCUAAAAAAAUUAAUCUGCAGCUGAUAGCAUCUGUUACUUAGGAUAGUACACUGAAUGGUAUCUCACUCAGGUUCUUUCUUUCCUAUGCUUUUAUAGUAUAUUUACGUAAAGACUACUGAGGAAUUGUCCUAAGUAUGGCACUUGGCAGCCAGUUGGACCAUUUAGUUUUGCAAAUAGCUAAGCUCUGUGUUCAAAAUCUUUGCUCUUCUUAUUUUUUAGCCCAAUCAGUAGAUGCAAGUGCAAUUUCAAUCAGCUAUCAUCAAUUCAUCAUUGGUAGAUCCUUAUGUUAGUCUCUGCAUUCUAACUUGGAGAGAGAGGAAGGCAUAUAAUUUCCUUAUAUAGUCUCUUGGUUAACCAUCAAGAUAGCAGAAAUCAAUGUAAAGCUGUUAUAGGGUCAAAUACUUAUUACAUGCAGUGCUAGCUAUGCUAACAGCACAAAGUAGCUUUCAUUCUUUUAACUAUUUGUCCAUAUGCUACCAUGGUCCACUUAAAAAUAAAACUAUUCCUUGUAAAAAUGCAAUGUUGUACUGUCAAAAAGCCAAUAGGCAUUGAUAUGUUGUAUCUAAUCCAAAGAUGAUGCGACCUUUACUGACAGCAUUAAUUUUCUAAUUUUCCUAUUGCUAAAUCAUGUUCAAUCUACACCUCAGCUGAUCGGAUUCCUAUUAACUCUUGAAUUCUCUAAAGUGAUGAAAAACUUUGUGUCUUUAUAAGUAGGUUAGCAGAUAUCGGCAUUUCCAACUUUGAGCAGGUAGCUACGCUUGUUAAUAUUCAGCUUUUAUUUGUGGAUAGGUGCUAUAGAAGAAAUUAAGAAUUGCAAGUAGAAAACUGGAAUUUCAUAGAUGUACUGCAUUGCUCCAUUGCCUUCCAGAAAUGUUGCUUACUCAUCAUUUUGCUGGCCUGAUCGUUAUUGCAUGGUAAAUAUACUGAUCUGGCAGCAGAUUGAAAUUUGAAGAACAUAAGUCCUGAAAUAUACUUCCAAUGAGAUAAGAAUUAAGCACUGACCUCUGGUGUCUUUCCUAACAUAGUGAAGUUAUUAGAGGAUAUUGCCCUUGCACUAUAUCUAAACUUGGCACAGAGACAACUAUUUGUUAGGUUUCCUUCUGUCAAUAUUUGUUUGUUUUCCCUUCAGGCUUGAUAAGAAUCACUAGCAUAAGCAUUGGCAAAAAAAAAAUUCCAGUUCUAGCUCUUAGAAUUUUCCAUAUUUCUCUUCUAUUAUUGUUGCUGGUGCACCUUGAACACUACUGGUACUUCCCUUUUGUGUUUAGAACUUUAGAUACGUUCAAUCAGGUAUUCAGAUAGCAAAGAAAAUAUGAAAAGAAGAGUGGGCUAUUCCAGUUCUUAGAAUUUUCAAUAUUUCUCUAAGCAUGGCCAGGUAGACCACAUGCCUCCUGGUUUGGUACAAAUACGAUUAGUUUCUGUAAGCUCAGGGUCAAUACCUGCUACAGAGGCGUUGUUUGACGACAACGAGCUCCUAGUCUGUGCUUCGUCCUGUGGUGUUGUGAGGAUACGCCGGCACCUUCUGGUUUGGCAUCUCCAUGUGGUGCUACGCCGCACGGCCGCCACCAGUGAGUUGCACCACAUGGCGUGAGCUAUCCACGCAAGCAUCGUUAUCUUCGAGGUAAUUCCGCAGCAGGGGUUAGGAUAACCCCCCCUCCCCUGAUGGCCCAAAGACAUUCGACAGAAUACCCAGGCUGACCUUUGUGCUAACGCUUCUAGCAUCUCUUCCUGCAGCUGUGAUGAUAAAGUGGCCAGCUUAGAUACUGAAACAGUGAAGGGACUCAAUUUGUGAUCUCUGUUAGAUUCGAUUGGAACAACAUAGCUAUAUUUGUAAGAAUUUGUAGUAUCCAAACAAAACAUGUAAUGUGUUCGGCAGAAUAUGUCCCUACAGAUACCUGUCAUCCAGGUUAAUGUACAUCGUCAAUAUUCUUCUAGAAGAGCAUUUACGUGUAUCCAGUGCCAUAUCUUAGCUUUCAUUGAUAUUCUCCUC